AGAUUGAACGCUGGCGGCAUGCUUUACACAUGCAAGUCGAACGGUAACAGGCCGCAAGGUGCUGACGAGUGGCGAACGGGUGAGUAAUGUAUCGGAACGUGCCCAGUCGUGGGGGAUAACGCAGCGAAAGCUGCGCUAAUACCGCAUACGAUCUAUGGAUGAAAGCGGGGGACCGUAAGGCCUCGCGCGAUUGGAGCGGCCGAUAUCAGAUUAGGUAGUUGGUGGGGUAAAGGCUCACCAAGCCAACGAUCUGUAGCUGGUCUGAGAGGACGACCAGCCACACUGGGACUGAGACACGGCCCAGACUCCGUACGGGAGGCAGCAGGUGGGAAUUUUGGACAAUGGGCGCGAAGCCUGAUCCAGCAAUGCCGCGUGCGAGAAGAGGCUUGGUUAGUAACUGCUUUAGACGGAACGAACGU
rnacentral:rRNA from 1 species